AGUAGUUGACUUUGCUGUAUGGAAAAAU
rnacentral:piRNA from 2 species